CCCUUAAUAUUGUGAUUUUCUUUUGAGUUUUUCUUAUAAAUGUUUUAAAUUAUUUUAUCUUUGAUUUAUCAUAAAUUUGUUGAAAUUAUUAUUAUGUCUUGUUUCAUUGAAGUCUACAGUUUCAUUGGAAAGAAAUAUCAGCACUUUUGCCUGUUCAAUGGUAUGCUUUGUGCCUGGGUUUAUUUGCAUCAAUUAUAGCUCUUUAGGGGUUAUUUUUUGCAAGUGGCUUGAAGAGAGCUUUUCAAAUUAAGGAUUUUGGUGAUACAUUCCUGGACAUGGUGGGUUUACUGACAGAAUGGACUGUCAGUUGCUUGAAGCAGCCUGGUGUUUUACAAACAUAGCAGCAGGAAAGCCAGAAGAGACUAGAGCUUUGUAGACUGCUUUACCAUUGCUCAUUGCUCAUCUUGGAGGUUGGUGAUGGUUUCUGCAUUUUCCAUUCAAUGUGAAAGAAUGUAAAUGUCUCUUUCUUUUUCUUAUCAGAAAAAGCAAACGCUUUUUUCCUUUUUCUUCUUCUUUUUGUGUGUAGUAUUUUCUUUCUCCAUAGCCUCUUCAUAAAUUAAUACCGGAAAGUUGUUAUGGCUUUCUGAGACCUAAGAGUGACUGACAGUAAUUAAAGAUAUCAGGUUAAGUACUCUACAUUGAAAUUGGAUUACAUAACCAAGUAUGUCCAUUUUUUGAUCA